UUUUUAUUUUGUGAUCUUUAAUUUUAGCCCCCCCCUUCUUUAUUUCUUUCUUCCUUUCAGCUUCAUGUUAUAUAUUUUUUCUUCUCUUCUUUUAUUUAAUUCCUGUCCCUUUCUUUCUCUCUUUCCUCGUUUGUCUUUUUGUUUUUCAAUUUUUUUUCUUUUCUUCUUUCCUUUAUUUUCCUUCACCCAUUUUCUUUCUUUCUGUAUUUUAUCUUUCUCGGUUCGGUUCUCUUUUUAGUUUUUUAAUCGAUAUUAUUUUCUAUUAUUUCCCUUCCUUUUGUUUCAUUUUGUCUUUCGCCCUUCUGUCACCCACGUCCUUUCUUUCUUUCUGUCUUUCUUUCCUCGUUUGUCUGUCGUCUUUCAAUUUUUUUCUUUUCUCUUCUUCUUUCCUUCAUUCUCAUUCACCCGCUUCGUUUCUUUCUAUCUUUCUUUUUUUAUUUUUCUUUCUCUUACCUCAUUUCUUUUUUUUUUUUGUAUGCAUUUUUUCUUUUAAGUUUUUUUCCCCUUCUAUUAUUUCCUUUUUUGUUUACUUUUUCUCUUUCCUUUUUCCAGCCAUAUCCUUUCUUUCUUUGUAUUCUUCCCCUCUUCAAUACUUUUCCUUUCUCUUCUUUUAUUUAAUUUGUCUUGAUUUUCUUUUCUUCCUUGCUCACUAAUUUAACAGCAGACACAACAUCGUACGUAAAGUUACCAUGGCGACCGCCACGUGUUUUAGCCUGGUAGCCGGUAGAGCACACAGGUUUGCAGUCAGGACUCAAACGGGUCAUCAGUACGUGAUGAUUCACUGAUCCGAAUACUGAUCCACGGAACACAAAUGACUCGGUGCGUGGUAGUGAACGAUACUGAUUCGUUCAGCUGAGUGACUCUUUCAGAAAGAUGAAUCAUUGGUGAACGAAUCACAUCUCGUUUAUAAUCCUGUGGCAUCGUUCUCUUUACAGGAUCCUGAGGAAUCGGAUGGUUUGGAAUCGGGUCGGUGUUCCAGACGUGUCCCGUACCAGAUGUUCCGGAAUGGGGAGCCGCCAGUCAUGCCCCAAUCCAAAAACGUCCUCCAGACGUCCAGUUUAGGGUUGUGGCGGACUCAGAACCUAUCUUGGGAUACGCUGAGUGCAAGGCAGGGAUACACCCUGAAUCAAACACACCCUGAACCCCUCAAACACGCCCCAAAAGCAGCAGAUACGCCGGGGUUAGCUCAACACUAAAGGUUAGUGUUACCAUAGCAACAGUGAUGAAAACAACAAUAACAUAUUCUACUAAUAAAAUAACCGAACAGUAGACUGUGAUAAAGGAGUGUAGUUUUCACCCAGAGAAAUGUUCUGUCUGUCUCUCCUCCUGUCUCUCUGUCUGUCUGUUGCUCUCCUCCUGUCUGUCUCUUCUGCUAUCUGUUUUUCUCUCUUUCUGUCGGUUUGCGUCUCCUUCUCCCUCUCUGUCUCUCCUCCAAUGUUCUCUCUCUCUCUGUGUCUCAUACUGCCUCUCUCUAUCUCUCCUGUCUAUCUCUCUAUCUUCCCGUCUCUCCCCCUGUCUGUCUGUCUGUCUCUUCUGCUCUGUUUUUCUCUCUCUGUCUCUCCUCCAAUGCGUAAUCCUUCCUCUUGUCUGUCUGUCUCGUCUGAUAGCUGUUUGUCUUUCCUUCUGUCUCUCUCCCCUCCAAUGCUCUGUCUCUUUCUGUCUUUGUCCUCCUGUGUCUCACCCUCUGUCUGUCUAUCCUCCUAUCUGUCGCUCCUUCUAUCUGUUUGUCUCUCCUUCUAGGUGUCUGUCUCUCUUUCUGUCUGUUUUUCCACCUGUCCGUCUCUUUCUGUCUGUCUGACUCAUCUAUUUGUCCGUCUGUCCGUCCCUCCUUCUAGGUGUAUGUAUCUCCUACUGUGUCUGUCCUCCUGUCUGUCUCUCCUUCUGCAUCUGUGUGUCCUUCUCUUUCUGUCUGUCUCGUCUGUCUGUUUAUCCUCCUAUCUGCAUCGCAUUCUGUCUGUCUCUCUCCUACUGUGUCUGAUUGUCUCCCAUCCGUCACUCCUUAUAUCUGUCUGUUUUUGCUUCUGUCUUUCUCUCAUUUGCUCUGUCUCCCCCCCGUCUGUCUCUCUGUCGAUCUCCCUGUAUCUCCUGCUAUCUGUCUGUUUCUCAUUCAACCGCUCGAUCUCCAUCUGUCUACUUCUAUCUGUCUGUCUGUUUUCUUUCGUUCUUUCUUUCCGCUUCCACUGAUUUCUGAUUUGCUCCUUAUCGUCUGUUACGGGGGGAAAAAAAGAAGGUCCGGCUCUGUGCUAUAAUUCCAGACAACAGCAUGCUAACGACCUUUCUGCUUUAAAUGCCUAUAAAAUAGCAGAAUGCAGUUCAUGUAGAGGUCGUUUUAGGCGACGCGUGCGUGCGUGCGUGCGUGCGUGUGUGUGUGUGUGUGUGUGUGAGAGAGAGGGAGAUUCCUGUGGGAGAUUGUUACUGGACGCUAAUGGACUCCAUUUGUGGUGCAGGAGAGUCAGUUUUCCAGCGGCGGGGGUUCACGCGAGUUCGCCGCUCCGAGCUUCUCUAAAUACACUGCUUGUAAAAGCAAUCAAACUCGCAGGCGUUCUCCAGCCUGAAGCUUUUUUUUUUUUUUUUCCAGAGGAAAAAACGGAAACGGAUCUGCGGUCCACCUGGAGACGGUGGGGUGAACGUGGGUGUGGGGUGUUUUUCGGUUCCGCUUGUGGAGGCUGUGGUGGUCCUGUCUAACAUCAUGCGUACACCUGCAGACCUCAUGAAUCCGUUUUCCCAGCCGGUUCACUCAUCUGCGUCGCCUGCAUCAGCUCGCUGUUAAAGAAGUUGGCUAGCAUUGCAAAGCUUUUUCUAUCCAGCUAGUUUUCCCGUUCUUGUUGGAAUCCGUUCAUCCAUGCCGCACAACCCCAGAGCAUGACGGAUCCCCCCUCAUGCUCAAGACUUCUUAAGUCACGGUGUUUCCUUCUGAUGACUCUUCCAUGCAGAUCAUGUGUGUUCGAGCAGCGCUGCAGAGCUCCUGUGUUAGCUAAACCUUCCUGCAGGUGCUCGCUGUCAUUUAGGGGCGUCUGAGAGUGUUCUUGGUCUUCUAGAGCUUUCCUUGACGUCCACGGAAAUUUCUUAAUGACGUUUCAGGCAGUGAAAAUUGCGGGCUGGAAGGCGUUUUCUUUUUCUAGCCUUCCCCUGCUUGGUAGGCAUCAGUUCGCUGUUCAUCAGUCAGCUUCAUGUUCAGAUCCUCGGUCUGCUGCUGAGUGCGAGCACAAGUUUUCUCCGGAACUGUUAUUCCUAAUGACGGAUCCCGACCUGCCUAACGAGUCCUAGUGAGUCAGUUAAGGCCCAACUUUUGCAACCGCCGCAAUUAUUUAUUUGAUUUUUAUUCUAGGG
ensembl:lncRNA